rnacentral:rRNA from 1 species
UAAGAGGUCCCGCCUGCCCUGUGACUAUAUGUUUAACGGCCGCGGUAUUUUGACCGUGCGAAGGUAGCGCAAUCAUUUGUCUCUUAAAUGGAGACCUGUAUGAAUGGCACAACGAGGGCUUAACUGUCUCCUCUUUUAAGUCAAUGAAAUUGAUCCCCCCGUGCAGAAGCGGGGAUAACCACAUAAGACGAGAAGACCCUAUGAAGCUUCAGACACCAGCGCCGAUCAUGUUAAACACCCUCCCACAAGAGCCUGAACCAAAUGAACCCUGCCCUAAUGUCUUUGGUUGGGGCGACCGCGGGGAAAUAAAAAACCCCCACGUGGAAUGGGAGCACCCCCUCCUAAAACCAAGAGCAACAGCUCUAAUAAACAGAAUCUUCUGACCCAUAGAUCCGGCCCUGCCGAUCAACGAACCGAGUUACUCUAGGGAUAACAGCGCAAUCCCCUUUUAGAGCCCAUAUCGACAAGGGGGUUUACGACCUCGAUGUUGGAUCAGGACAUCCUAAUGGUGCAGCCGCUAUUAAGGGUUCGUUUGUUCAACG